UACGGGGGGGGCAAGCGUUGUUCGGAAUUACUGGGCGUAAAGGGUCUGUAGGUGGCUUGCUAAGUCAGACGUGAAAUCCCUCAGCUUAACUGGGGAACUGCGUCUGAGACUGGCGAGCUUGAGGGCAGGAGAGGAACGCGGAAUUCCAGGUGUAGCGGUGAAAUUCGUAGAUAUUCGCAAGAACACCAGUGGCGAAGGCGGCUCACUGGCCCGAUACUGACGCUGAGGCACGAAAGCGUGGGGAGCAAACAGG
rnacentral:rRNA from 1 species